CGCCGCCAGCGUCUGCUCUUCCGCCCGGUCCGUCGCCCCCGGCGCAGUCCUGCGAAGUUCGGAACUCGACGCUCGCUUGGCUGCCCUUCUUUUGGUCCGCCCGACCGUCCGUUUGGGCCUCUGGAAGCCGCCGCGGACGCCUCACAGGGGGCCCUUACCUGUUCCGCUCCACUCGCGGCCAUCUUGGAAGUGGGAAGCAGCUGGGCGGAGGAAGGGGUGCGAACGGGUAGGCACCAGGCGUGAAGAGCCGAGCGGCAGAGCGCAUCGAUGGGGCACCGCUGGCCAACAGGUGUCAGAGCCGGAAGCGGACUCAAACUGGGAAAUCUCCCCGAGGCCUUGGUGUAGGUCAACCGGAGCUCAGGUGGGUCCAGGUCGCGGAGAAAAUUCAAGCCCCCGAGUGAGGUCACGCUAGGAGUCUCUCUUAGCUGGUUAAUUGCUCUUCAUCCCCCUUGUAGGAUGUGCGCAAUGCAAGCAGGCCCAG